AGUGAACGCUGGCGGUAGGCCUAACACAUGCAAGUCGAACGGCAGCACAGUAAGAGCUUGCUCUUACGGGUGGCGAGUGGCGGACGGGUGAGGAAUACAUCGGAAUCUACUUUUUCGUGGGGGAUAACGUAGGGAAACUUACGCUAAUACCGCAUACGACCUACGGGUGAAAGCAGGGGAUCUUCGGACCUUGCGCGAUUGAAUGAGCCGAUGUCGGAUUAGCUAGUUGGGGGGGUAAAGGCCCACCAAGGCGACGAUCCGUAGCUGGUCUGGGAGGAUGGAGGCCCCACUUGGAAUGGGAAACGGGCCAGAACCCUACGGGAGGCAGCAGGUGGGGAAAUUGGGCAAUGGGCGGAAGGCUGAUGCAGCCACGCCGCGGGGGGGAAAGAGGGCUUUGGGUUUGUAAACCCUUUUUUUGGGGAAAAAAAAGACGGAGGUUAACACCCCGGUGUUUUGCGGGAACCAAAAAAAAAAGCACCGGCUAAUUGGUG
rnacentral:rRNA from 1 species